GAUGAACGCUGGCGGCGUGCCUAAUACAUGCAAGUCGAGCGAACGGACGAGAAGCUUGCUUCUCUGAUGUUAGCGGCGGACGGGUGAGUAACACGUGGAUAACCUACCUAUAAGACUGGGAUCACUUCGGGAAACCGGAGCUAAUACCGGAUAAUAUUUUGAACCGCAUGGUUCAAAAGUGAAAGACGGUCUUGCUGUCACUUAUAGAUGGAUCCGCGCUGCAUUAGCUAGUUGGUAAGGUAACGGCUUACCAAGGCAACGAUGCCUAGCCGACCUGAUAGGGUGAUCGGCCACACUGGAACGGAGACACGGUCCAGACUCCUACGGGAGGCAGCAGUAGGGAAUCUGCCGCAAUGGGCGAAAGCCUUGCGGAGCAACGCCGCGUGAGUGAUGAAGGUGUUCGGAUCGUAAAACUCUGUUAUUAGGGAAGAACAUAUGUGUAAGUAACUGUGCACAGCUUGACGGUACCUAAUCAGAAAGCCACGGCUAACUACGUG
rnacentral:rRNA from 1 species